rnacentral:rRNA from 1 species
AUUGAACGCUGGCGGCAGGCCUAACACAUGCAAGUCGAACGGUAACAGGAAGAAGCUUGCUUCUUUGCUGACGAGUGGCGGACGGGUGAGUAAUGUCUGGGAAACUGCCUGAUGGAGGGGGAUAACUACUGGAAACGGUAGCUAAUACCGCAUAACGUCGCAAGACCAAAAAGGGGGACCUUCGGGCCUCUUGCCAUCGGAUGUGCCCAGAUGGGAUUAGCUAGUAGGUGGGGUAACGGCUCACCUAGGCGACGAUCCCUAGCUGGUCUGAGAGGAUGACCAGCCACACUGGAACUGAGACACGGUCCAGACUCCUACGGGAGGCAGCAGUGGGGAAUAUUGCACAAUGGGCGCAAGCCUGAUGCAGCCAUGCCGCGUGUAUGCAGAAGGCCUUCGGGUUGUAAAGUACUUUCAGCGGGGAGGAAGGGAGUAAAGUUAAUACCUUUGCUCAUUGACGUUACCCGCAGAAGAAGCACCGGCUAACUCCGUG